rnacentral:rRNA from 1 species
CAAAAGCGUAUAUUAAAGUUGUUGCAGUUAAAAAGCUCGUAGUUGAACCUUGGGCUUGGCUGGCCGGUCCAUCUUUUUUGAUGCGUACUGGACCCAGCCGAGCCUUUCCUUCUGGCUAGCCUUUUGGCGAACCAGGACUUUUACUUUGAAAAAAUUAGAGUGUUCAAAGCAGGCCUUUGCUCGAAUAUAUUAGCAUGGAAUAAUAGAAUAGGACGUUAUGGUUCUAUUUUGUUGGUUUCUAGGACCAUCGUAAUGAUUAAUAGGGACGGUCGGGGGUAUCAGUAUUCAGUUGUCAGAGGUGAAAUUCUCGGAUUUACUGAAGACUAACUACUGCGAAAGCAUUUACCAAGGACGUUUUCAUUAA